rnacentral:rRNA from 1 species
GGUUAAGUGACUAAGCGUACACGGUGGAUGCCUUGGCAGUCAGAGGCGAUGAAAGACGUAGUAACUUGCGAUAAGCCCAGAUUAGGUAGUAACAACCAUUUGAGUCUGGGAUUUCUGAAUGGGGAAACCCACGUGCAUAAGCACGUAUCCUUACCUGAAUACAUAGGGUAAGGAGGCGAACCGGGGGAACUGAAACAUCUAAGUACCCCGAGGAAAAGAAAUCAACCGAGAUUCCGAAAGUAGCGGCGAGCGAAAUUGGACUAGCCCUUAAGCUUUACACGCGUUAGACGAACGGUCUGGAAAGUCCGACGAUACAGGGUGAUAGUCCCGUAGUUGACGACGUGUGUUCAGUGAAAUCGAGUAGGGCGGGACACGUGAUAUCCUGUCUGAAUAUGGGGGGACCAUCCUCCAAGGCUAAAUACUACUGACUGACCGAUAGUGAACCAGUACCGUGAGGGAAAGGCGAAAAGAACCCCUGUGAGGGGAGUGAAAUAGAACCUGAAACCGUGUACGUACAAGCAGUAGGAGCAGGCUUUGUCCUGUGACUGCGUACCUUUUGUAUAAUGGGUCAGCGACUUAUAUUCAGUGGCAAGGUUAACCAUCUAGGGGAGCCGUAGGGAAACCGAGUCUUAACUGGGCGUUCAGUCUCUGGAUAUAGACCCGAAACCAGGUGAUCUAGCCAUGGGCAGGUUGAAGGUUGAGUAACAUCAACUGGAGGACCGAACCGACUAAUGUUGAAAAAUUAGCGGAUGACUUGUGGCUAGGGGUGAAAGGCCAAUCAAACCUGGAGAUAGCUGGUUCUCCCCGAAAGCUAUUUAGGUAGCGCCUCGGACGAAUACUACUGGGGGUAGAGCACUGUUAAGGCUAGGGGGUCAUCCCGACUUACCAACCCUUUGCAAACUCCGAAUACCAGUAAGUACUAUCCGGGAGACACACGGCGGGUGCUAACGUCCGUCGUGGAGAGGGAAACAACCCAGACCGCCAGCUAAGGUCCCAAAUUACUACUAAGUGGGAAACGAUGUGGGAAGGCUCAGACAGCCAGGAUGUUGGCUUAGAAGCAGCCAUCAUUUAAAGAAAGCGUAAUAGCUCACUGGUCGAGUCGGCCUGCGCGGAAGAUGUAACGGGGCUAAGUAGUAAACCGAAGCUGCGGCAAUAUACUUUUGUAUAUUGGGUAGGGGAGCGUUCUGUAAGCGGUUGAAGGUGUGUGGUAACGCAUGCUGGACGUAUCAGAAGUGCGAAUGCUGACAUGAGUAACGAUAAAGGGGGUGAAAAACCUCCUCGCCGGAAGACCAAGGGUUCCUGUCCAACGUUAAUCGGGGCAGGGUAAGUCGACCCCUAAGGCGAGGCCGAAAGGCGUAGUCGAUGGGAAACGGGUUAAUAUUCCCGUACUUCUUACAAUUGCGAUGGGGGGACGGAGAAGGCUAGGUGGGCCUGGCGACGGUUGUCCAGGUUCAAGUGCGUAGGCUUGAGAGUUAGGUAAAUCCGGCUCUUUCUAAGGCUGAGACACGACGUCGAGCACCUACGGGUGUGAAGUCAUUGAUGCCAUGCUUCCAGGAAAAGCCUCUAAGCUUCAGAUUGUAAGGAAUCGUACCCCAAACCGACACAGGUGGUCGGGUAGAGAAUACCAAGGCGCUUGAGAGAACUCGGGUGAAGGAACUAGGCAAAAUGGUACCGUAACUUCGGGAGAAGGUACGCUCUUGAUGGUGAAGUCCCUCGCGGAUGGAGCUGACGAGAGUCGCAGAUACCAGGUGGCUGCAACUGUUUAUUAAAAACACAGCACUGUGCAAAAUCGUAAGAUGACGUAUACGGUGUGACGCCUGCCCGGUGCCGGAAGGUUAAUUGAUGGGGUUAGACUUCGGUCGAAGCUCUUGAUCGAAGCCCCGGUAAACGGCGGCCGUAACUAUAACGGUCCUAAGGUAGCGAAAUUCCUUGUCGGGUAAGUUCCGACCUGCACGAAUGGCGUAAUGAUGGCCACGCUGUCUCCACCCGAGACUCAGUGAAAUUGAAAUCGCUGUGAAGAUGCAGUGUACCCGCGGCUAGACGGAAAGACCCCGUGAACCUUUACUACAGCUUGGCACUGAACAUUGACCCUACAUGUGUAGGAUAGGUGGGAGGCUUUGAAGCACGUACGCCAGUAUGUGUGGAGCCGUCCUUGAAAUACCACCCUUGUAGUGUUGAUGUUCUAACGUCGACCCCUAAUCGGGGUUGCGGACAGUGCCUGGUGGGUAGUUUGACUGGGGCGGUCUCCUCCCAAAGAGUAACGGAGGAGCACGAAGGUGGGCUAAUCACGGUUGGACAUCGUGAGGUUAGUGCAAUGGCAUAAGCCCGCUUGACUGCGAGAAUGACAAUUCGAGCAGGUGCGAAAGCAGGUCAUAGUGAUCCGGUGGUUCUGAAUGGAAGGGCCAUCGCUCAACGGAUAAAAGGUACUCCGGGGAUAACAGGCUGAUACCGCCCAAGAGUUCAUAUCGACGGCGGUGUUUGGCACCUCGAUGUCGGCUCAUCACAUCCUGGGGCUGAAGUCGGUCCCAAGGGUAUGGCUGUUCGCCAUUUAAAGUGGUACGCGAGCUGGGUUUAGAACGUCGUGAGACAGUUCGGUCCCUAUCUGCCGUGGGCGUUGGAAGAUUGAAGGGGGCUGCUCCUAGUACGAGAGGACCGGAGUGGACGAACCUCUGGUGUUCGGGUUGUGUCGCCAGACGCAUUGCCCGGUAGCUAAGUUCGGAAUCGAUAACCGCUGAAAGCAUCUAAGCGGGAAGCGAGCCCUGAGAUGAGUCUUCCCUGAUACUUUAAGUAUCCUAAAGGGUUGUCGGAGACUACGACGUUGAUAGGUCAGGUGUGUAAGUGCUGUGAGGCAUUGAGCUAACUGAUACUAAUUGCCCGUGAGGCUUAACCAU